rnacentral:tRNA from 1 species
GCCUCCUUAGCUCAGUGGUAGAGCAUUGCACUUAUAUAGAUGCGUGUUGGACGUUUGAGAAUAAUAUCUUCUACAAUGCAAAGGCCAGCGGUUCAAUCCUGCUAGGAGGCU